CCGGGUUGCGGACAGUGUCUGGUGGGUAGUUUGACUGGGGCGGUCUCCUCCUAAAGAGUAACGGAGGAGCACGAAGGUUGGCUAAUCCUGGUCGGACAUCAGGAGGUUAGUGCAAUGGCAUAAGCCAGCUUGACUGCGAGCGUGACGGCGCGAGCAGGUGCGAAAGCAGGUCAUAGUGAUCCGGUGGUUCUGAAUGGAAGGGCCAUCGCUCAACGGAUAAAAGGUACUCCGGGGAUAACAGGCUGAUACCGCCCAAGAGUUCAUAUCGACGGCGGUGUUUGGCACCUCGAUGUCGGCUCAUCACAUCCUGGGGCUGAAGUAGGUCCCAAGGGUAUGGCUGUUCGCCAUUUAAAGUGGUACGCGAGCUGGGUUUAGAACGUCGUGAGACAGUUCGGUCCCUAUCUGCCGUGGGCGCUGGAGAACUGAGGGGGGCUGCUCCUAGUACGAGAGGACCGGAGUGGACGCAUCACUGGUGUUCGGGUUGUCAUGCCAAUGGCACUGCCCGGUAGCUAAAUGCGGAAGAGAUAAGUGCUGAAAGCAUCUAAGCACGAAACUUGCCCCGA
rnacentral:rRNA from 9 species